rnacentral:rRNA from 1 species
CGCACGCGCGCUACACUGACGGAGCCAGCGAGUACUUCCUUGGCCGAAAGGCCCGGGUAAUCUUGUUAAACUCCGUCGUGCUGGGGAUAGAGCAUUGCAAUUAUUGCUCUUCAACGAGGAAUCCCUAGUAAGCGCAAGUCAUCAGCUUGCGUUGAUUACGUCCCUGCCCUUUGUACACACCGCCCGUCGCUACUACCGAUUGAAUGGCUCAGUGAGGCGUCCGGACUGGCCCAGGGAGGUGGGCAACUACCACCCAGGGCCGGAAAGCUCUCCAAACUCGGUCAUUUAGAGGAAGUAAAAGUCGUAACAAGGUCUCCGUUGGUGAACCAGCGGAGGGAUCAUUACCGAGUUAUACAACUCAUCAACCCUGUGAACAUACCUAAACGUUGCCUCGGCGGGAACAGACGGCCCCGUGAAAACGGGCCGCCCCCGCCAGAGGACCCCCUAACUCUGUUUCUAUAAUGUUUCUUCUGAGUAAAACAAGCAAAUAAAUUAAAACUUUCAACAACGGAUCUCUUGGCUCUGGCAUCGAUGAAGAACGCAGCGAAAUGCGAUAAGUAAUGUGAAUUGCAGAAUUCAGUGAAUCAUCGAAUCUUUGAACGCACAUUGCGCCCGCCAGUAUUCUGGCGGGCAUGCCUGUUCGAGCGUCAUUACAACCCUCAGGCCCCCGGGCCUGGGGUUUGGGGAU